AUGUGUGAUUGGACUGGCAUUGAACUGUUGGGUGAGACAAGCGCCAGAACCCACACCCAAGACUCCAGGUGCUCUGCUGCAAGCCUGGUGCUUAGAGGUGGUGCAGGGGGCAGACCCAGAGGGGAGGGAGGGACACAGGUGACUAUAUCCAUCAGCCACGUGGCCUUGCCAGGCUCCAGGGAGCCAGGGAACAAACUUGGGGCGUUGCCAAGGAGGGAGAGGGAAAUGAGAUCACUUGUCAAGAAAUGUACAUUUUCUCAGAAGACCUUGAUGCCACGGAAGCAGCAAGGCACAAAACCAUAAAUGACGGACGGCUGAAGCACACGGGCUCAGAGCUUAAGGUCAGUGGGGGUGUGUUCCACGGGACUAGAGAGUGACCCCAGACAGACUCCCUCUUGAAUGACAUUUUGAUUCUAAGCCUUCAAAAUCCCCUCUUGGAAAGUGAUGAUCUGCCCCACUGGGACUGAGGUUCGGGUCACCCUCCUCACUGCAGGUUGGAGGCGUUCUGAGAUUUCCAGGCCAUGCAGCAGCCUUAGACUUACCAGGUCCUGUAACCCAUGAUCUGCCCUGCCAUUGACUCGCUAUUACCCAGCCUCUCUGAGCCUCGGGGUCACUAAUGUGUGCCCAGAAGCUACAACAGAUAAUUUAUUUAUUUUUUAAAAAUAUUUUAUUUAUCCAUUCAUGAUAGACAUAGAGAGAGAGAGAGGCAGAGAUACAGGCAGAGGGAGAAGCAGGCUCCAUGCAGGGAGCCCGACGUAGGACUUGAUCCCGGGUCUCCAGGAUCGCGCCCCCGGCCAAAGGCAGGCGCCAAACCGCUGAGCCACCCAGGGAUCCCCAUACAACAGAUAAUUUAAUAACUAAGUGAAAUCAUGUAAAUAUGAACGGCUCCAAUAGAUCCUAGGAGCUCUAAUAUUACUUCCCCUCCUCUUCAGUUUCCGGGAAAGGAAAGCGGGCGGUGGGUCAAUAACGUCGGAGUCCUCCCUGGCUCCCUGGCCCAAGGCAAAGCCCCUGACCACGGUCCUGACGUUGGCAACACCAGCUCCUUCUUCCUGAACGUUUGCCUGGUUCUGCCGCGAGGCUGGAGUAGACAGUUUCAACCUCCCAGGAACUCCGCAGUACUCUCUGUCUGUGCAGGUCAGGAAACUGAGGCUCAGAAUGAUGGAACAGUUGAUCCAAGUUCACAGAACGACAGAGGAUAGCAAGGCUGGACUUGAAGCCGUCCAUGCCCCGUGUUAACUCCUAGACCAUGUCGCCUGCCCUUCACCCACCGCUGCAGCAGAAAGGCCCCCUCAUUCCUGCGCUUGACUCCAGAAAAACCUUGGCCUUAUCUUCUCAGGGAGGCCUGGCGGAGCACCCAAACGACCACCAAAAUGGUUUAGGGUAAAGAUCAGGACCUGGCCUGAAAAACAGGAGGCCGCGCCGGGCUCUGUCUGGCUGGGAUGGUCAGGGCCUGCGCGGAAAUCCUGCAAGUGGUUAUGGUGGGGGAGGGCCUGGCCAGGUGGGAGUGGGGCUGUUCACGGAGGUGGGCGGCAGCGGGGCGGGCACUUCCAAGCUUCAGACCCGGGCUGUUCCGGUAAACAAGUGCAACCCUCAGCUCCCUGGAGGGCCCAGGAGCAAAUGUGCGCAUCUCUGCCUCUUUGCCAGCAGCUGUUUGCAGGAGGCCGCGGCCCCGCCGUCUCCACUGCGCUCCUCCAGGCUUUCCCCGCCCGGCUCCAGCCUCAGGAAGUGGCGCCGCGGAGAACCGCUCCUCCAGCCUCGCCUCCUGCGGAGAGUGUCCUCCCCGGGAGCGUUUCCUGACCUAAUUAAGCCGGGUAAUGAGUAGCUAAGAGGAAGGGCAUAAAAGCCCUAGGCGGCUUAGAGCCGGGACACUUUAUGACGGGGGCAUCUGCAGCUGGUGACACUCUUAGGAAAGUUAUUUCUCAUAAUCCUGGGAAGUGGCACACUGUUGCCACAGCAGAGCGAGCCCUGAGGUAAGGACGGGGAGUUAUGUCACCUAGGGGGACCGGCCACAGGGUCCUGAGAGGCGCUGCCUGGUGGGGUGAUGCUGUGUGUCAGGGAAAGGGCUGAUCCCGGCCUCCCGCCCCAGUGCUCCUGGCUCGGCCUCAGGCUGGGGUGUCCUUGGUGACCGUGUGUGACUCCCUGGGGCCUGGGUUUUAUGUUUCAUUUGAAUGAUAGGACUGUGCACUGUGGGCAGUUUCCUAGCCUGGUGUCCGGCUCUGAGGAAGGAAAUCUGAGCCAGACGUUGAUCCCCACUCCCCUUCGGCCCUCUUUUAAGGUGCUCAAAAUUGCAUCCUGGAAAAUACCGAGUGUCCCAGAAGCCCUGGCCUAGAGGACCAGGAAGACUGACAGCAGCUGGCCUAACUGGGUCCCUCAAAGGCCAGAAGUUGACUGUUUCUACCCCCAGCCUCUGCCCCAAGAACUCGAGACCCACCCCAACGCCUCACGCACAGCCUACUACCAAUUCACCUUCUGCUCUUGCACUGUGUCUGUUUUGUUCAUUUGUUUAAAUCAUUUCACAUUCACUCUUGAGUUGGCCACCCCCCACCCCACCCCCACCCCUGCUGCUGUGUGUUGGGGAGGAGCACCCAGUCAGGGCCUGGGCUCUGGAGUGGGUUCCAUCACUAAAGCCCCUGAGUGAGCUUGCUGGCAACAACAUGUGACCUCUCAGCCAUCAUUCUCCCACGUGUAAAAUGAGGGUCUUGGUGCUGCCUUGCCUCCAAUAUGCUUUGAGCCCACAAUCUUCACCCCGUGAGCAGUGGGAAACAUAAUGUGUGAUGGGGGAACACAAGGCUAGCUGAGGACAAGGCACGAGCCUAGAGCAGCACAUUGACAAGUCCUUGAAAGAGGCAGAGGGACUCUACGGACUCAGCUGCCUCGAUGUUCAUGCUUUGCUAAGGGCAGGAGACAAUCCUAGCCUGACCCCUAUGACCCUGAGAGUCUACUUUAACAUAUAAAAAUUCCUUCAGAAAUUUCCUUUAUGUCCAAACCCCCAAUAUACGUGUUGGCAAUCAUCCCCCAAGCACAUGGCCCACCGACAUACAUCUGAAGGGUCUCAUGACUCAGGUUUUAUUAGACGGUAAUAAGUGACCUUUUCCCAAUGAAAGCCAGCCCCCUCAAGGUCCUGGAAACCUUGCUUCCAAAAUUCCUUAGAGAGUACACGAUGCUGAAACCCCUCCCAACUCCCAGGUCUAUAAUCUGCCACAGGCCCCGGGGCAGCAGUCCUUCCUACCCACGGGUCCUGUCCCCUGUGCUUUAAUAAAACCACCAUUUUGCACCA
rnacentral:lncRNA from 12 species